UACGGAGGGGGUUAGCGUUGUUCGGAAUUACUGGGCGUAAAGCGCACAUAGGCGGACUGGAAAGUUGGGGGUGAAAUCCCGGGGCUCAACCUCGGAACUGCCUUCAAAACUCCCAGUCUUGAGGUCGAGAGAGGUGAGUGGAAUUCCGAGUGUAGAGGUGAAAUUCGUAGAUAUUCGGAGGAACACCAGUGGCGAAGGCGGCUCACUGGCUCGAUACUGACGCUGAGGUGCGAAAGCGUGGGGAGCAAACAGG
rnacentral:rRNA from 1 species